rnacentral:rRNA from 1 species
AUGCGUAUUGUUAUUGGUGAAAUUGCUAUUUUCACACUGGCUUAUUUUUUAAUUUGCAAAGAAGAACGUGCAACUGCAACUGCACAGACCUGCAAAGAGCACCGUGCUAACAAGGGCGCAGCGUGCAUAAAUGAAGGUUGUUGGGCAGACUGCGCCAGAGACUACCAUGGACAUUAUGUCAAGAAUGCUUAUUGUACCGGCGUUUACCCCUUCACAAAAGUCUAUUGUGUCUGCGACGUCUGUGAAGAGUAG